GCUGCCUCUGUGAAAUGACUCGGUGGAUUCAGCCCAGCCCAGAAAGGCUCAGUCCCAGCCGCUGUGUCGGCCAGCUCGGUCAGGGACACAGACACCAGCUUUGCUUCAGGGACCAGGACCUUUGGGAGAAACUGAGGCAGUGAAGAGGGCUUCCUGGUCUAUCAUUAUACUCAACUGUUUUUUAAGAUCAAAACUGGUUUUUACAGUUAGAAAACUGGGCUUAAAACUCCAGGGAUUAAGCAGCAUCCCCAUCUACAAAUAUCAGAGUUCCUACCACUUAAUCAUGUCACAAGACGGACACAAGGACAGCUUAGUCUGAGAGAUCCAGAACUACACGUGAGAGUCAUGUAAGCUCCACUACACUUUCUUCUGUCAUUGUUGUCCUGGUCACAGGUCACAUAUGAAGAGUCAAACCCCAUUUUUGUCAGCUGACUGCCUUUUUUUGCUUCUUUUAUCCUUUUUUCCCCAUUAUUUUAAUGUUUAUCUUUCUCAGUGGAAAUGACUU